rnacentral:rRNA from 1 species
GUGAGGAAUAUUGGUCAAUGGGCGAGAGCCUGAACCAGCCAAGUCGCGUGAGGGACGAAUGGUCUAUGGCCUGUAAACCUCUUUUGUCAAGGAAGAAUAAGGAUGACGAGUCAUUCGAUGCCAGUACUUGACGAAUAAGCAUCGGCUAACUCCGUGCCAGCAGCCGCGGUAAUACGGGGGAUGCGAGCGUUAUCCGGAUUUAUUGGGUUUAAAGGGUGCGUAGGCGGCCUUUUAAGUCAGCGGUGAAAGUCUGUGGCUCAACCAUAGAAUUGCCGUUGAAACUGGGGGGCUUGAGUAUGUUUGAGGCAGGCGGAAUGCGUGGUGUAGCGGUGAAAUGCAUAGAUAUCACGCAGAACCCCGAUUGCGAAGGCAGCCUGCCAAGCCAUUACUGACGCUGAUGCACGAAAGCGUGGGGAUCAAACAGGA